rnacentral:lncRNA from 1 species
AUUAACCUACGUUUCCGGCAAUUCAAAACAGUUUAUACAAACAUGAGUCAGAAAUGAUGAAACUAAUUACCAUGAAUAUUCUACUCACAGUAAUCAUACAAAUCUACUGCAUAGCAUUUUAUACAGUCCAAUUCAGUUGAAUCUAUACAGUUCUUCAGUUAAUACAGUCCAGCGUCAACACAAAUUAUAAAUUGUUCUUAUCGUCUGAAUCCUUAUUACUACCAUUGUACAUAUAAGAUUUGACAUUAAACAACGAAUUGGCAUCAUCCAGAUUGCAUUUCCUCAAUUAACCAGUACACCUUGAUUGAUUCCUUCAUACAUCAAUUGGAGUGGGAAAAAUACCUAAGAUUAGAAAUUCAGUAGAAGAAGAAGAAAUUAGCGGCAGUAUCAGUAGAAGUCAGUGCAGUCAAGAAAAUUCAAUAGCUCAGGAAGGAUUUAAAACAAAAUAUAAACAGCCAAUCAACCAAAAUACUCAAUUGUAGCACCUAGUAAAUGACUGCAGAACAGACUCAAUUGCAACCAAAAAAAAAAUCAACCGAAAUCCAACCAGAAAACCCCUGAAACCACGCCAACCAACUGCUAAACUAAAAAUGUAACUCAAUAGAUAGGAGUUGAAAUUCACUUCAAGUUCCAAUGGAACAGUAGGAUUUUUUUAUUUUUGAAAGUUUCUAAUGUUUUUUUUUUUGAAUUUUUUUAAUGAAGGAAGCUAAAAUCUAAGCGGAAUUUGAUCUGAAUAUGAAUUUCAUAUUUGUAGAGCUUGAGGAUAUUUUUGGGGGAGUAUUGAGG